rnacentral:tRNA from 1 species
GGAGAGAUGGCUCAGAGGUUUAGAGCACUGGACUGAUCUUCCAGAUGUCCUGAGUUCAACUGUGCUUCUCUG